UACGUAGGGUGCAAGCGUUAAUCGGAAUUACUGGGCGUAAAGCGUGCGCAGGCGGUUUUGUAAGACCGAUGUGAAAUCCCCGGGCUUAACCUGGGAACUGCAUUGGUGACUGCAAGGCUUGAGUGUGUCAGAGGGAGGUGGAAUUCCGCGUGUAGCAGUGAAAUGCGUAGAUAUGCGGAGGAACACCGAUGGCGAAGGCAGCCUCCUGGGAUAACACUGACGCUCAUGCACGAAAAGCGUGGGGGAGCAAAACGGGG
rnacentral:rRNA from 1 species